AAUACGAAGGGACCUAGCGUAGUUCGGAAUUACUGGGCUUAAAGAGUUCGUAGGUGGUUAAAAAAGUUGGUGGUGAAAUCCCAGAGCUUAACUCUGGAACUGCCAUCAAAACUUUUUAGCUAGAGUAUGAUAGAGGAAAGCAGAAUUUCUAGUGUAGAGGUGAAAUUCGUAGAUAUUAGAAAGAAUACCAAUUGCGAAGGCAGCUUUCUGGAUCAUUACUGACACUGAGGAACGAAAGCAUGGGUAGCGAAGAGGAUUAGAUACCCUCGUAGUCCAUGCCAUAAACGAUGUGUGUUAGACGUUGGAAAUUUAUUUUCAGUGUCGCAGCGAAAGCAGUAAACACACCGCCUGGGGAGUACGACCGCAAGGUUAAAACUCAAAUGAAUUGACGGGGACCCGCACAAGUAGUGGAGCAUGUGGUUUAAUUCGAAGAUACGUGCAGAACCUUACCAACACUUGACAUGUUCGUCGCGACUCUAAGAGAUUAGAGUUUUCGGUUCGGCCGGACGAAACACAGGUGCUGCAUGGCUGUCGUCAGCUCGUGUCGUGAGAUGUUGGGUUAAGUCCCGCAACGAGCGCAACCCUCACUUUUAGUUGCCAUCAUUUAGUUGGGCACUCUGAAAGAACUGCCAGUGAUAAGCUGGAGGAAGGUGGGGAUGACGUCAAGUCCUCAUGGCCCUUACGUGUUGGGCUACACACGUGCUACAAUGGCAUCUACAAUAGGAAGCAAGAUGGCGACGUCAAGCAAAUCCUAAAAAGAUGCCUCAGUUCGGAUUGUACUCUGCAACUCGAGUACAUGAAGCUGGAAUUACUAGUAAUCGCGGAUCAGCGCGCCGCGGUGAAUACGUUCCCGGGUCUUGUACACACCGCCCGUCACACCAUGGGAGUUGGUUCUACCUUAAGGCAAGGUUUAAAACCCUUGACCACGGUAUAGUCAGC
rnacentral:rRNA from 1 species